rnacentral:rRNA from 1 species
GACGAACGCUGGCGGCGUGCUUAAUACAUGCCUGUCGAACGGAGUUAAGGGUUUCGGCCUUUAACUUAGUGGCGAACGGGUGAGUAACGCGUGAAUAACCUGACUCCAAGAGGGGGAUAACAACGGGAAACUGUUGCUAAUACCGCAUGAGACCACAACACCGCAUGAUGAAGGGGUCAAAGAUUUAUCGCUUUGAGAGGGGUUCGCGUCCCAUUAGGUAGUUGGAGGGGUAACGGCCCACCAAGCCAACGAUGGGUAGCCGAGCUGAGAGGCUGAUCGGCCACACUGGAACUGAGACACGGUCCAGACUCCUACGGGAGGCAGCAGUAGGGAAUAUUGGGCAAUGGGCGCAAGCCUGACCCAGCAACGCCGCGUGAGGGAAGAAGGUUUUCGGAUUGUAAACCUCUGUCCUAUGUGACGAAGGAAGUGACGGUAGCAUAGGAGGAAGCCCCGGCUAACUACGUGCCAGCAGCCGCGGUAAUACGUAGGGGGCGAGCGUUGUCCGGAAUUACUGGGCGUAAAGGGUGCGUAGGCGGUUUGGUAAGUUGGAUGUGAAAUACCCGGGCUUAACUUGGGGGCUGCAUCCAAUACUGUCGGACUUGAGUGCAGGAGAGGAAAGCGGAAUUCCUAGUGUAGCGGUGAAAUGCGUAGAUAUUAGGAGGAACACCGGUGGCGAAGGCGGCUUUCUGGACUGUAACUGACGCUGAGGCACGAAAGCGUGGGGAGCAAACAGGAUUAGAUACCCUGGUAGUCCACGCUGUAAACGAUGAUUACUAGGUGUGGGGGGACUGACCCCUUCCGUGCCGCAGUUAACACAAUAAGUAAUCCACCUGGGGAGUACGACCGCAAGGUUGAAACUCAAAGGAAUUGACGGGGGCCCGCACAAGCAGUGGAGUAUGUGGUUUAAUUCGAAGCAACGCGAAGAACCUUACCAGGUCUUGACAUCGAUCUAAAAGGGAUGGAGACAUCCUCAUAGCUAUAGAGAAGACAGGUGGUGCAUGGUUGUCGUCAGCUCGUGUCGUGAGAUGUUGGGUUAAGUCCCGCAACGAGCGCAACCCCUGUCGCCAGUUACCAUCAUUGAGUUGGGGACUCUGGCGAGACUGCCUCUGCAAGGAGGAGGAAGGCGGGGAUGACGUCAAAUCAUCAUGCCCCUUAUGACCUGGGCCACACACGUGCUACAAUGGACGGGACAGAGGGAAGCGAAGGCGCGAGCCGGAGCGGACCCCAGAAACCCGUUCCCAGUUCGGGCUGCAGUCUGCAACUCGACUGCACGAAGCCGGAAUCGCUAGUAAUCGCGGAUCAGCAUGCCGCGGUGA